CACCUCUGCUGCAAACCUCAGGAUGCAUAUUUUCAGUAUGAAUAUGAAGAGUAGAUUUGAUAUCAAAUCAAUGGCAGGGAAUAUUAUUCCUGCUAUUGCUACUACUAAUGCAGUGAUUGCUGGGUUGAUAGUAUUGGAAGGAUUGAAGAUCUUAUCAGGAAAAAUAGACCAGUGCAGAACAACAGUCUUGAAUAAACAACCAAACCCAAGAAAGAAGCUUCUUGUGCCUUGUGCACUGGAUCCUCCCAACCCCAAUUGUUACAUAUGUGCCAGCAAGCCAGAGGUGACUGUACAGCUGAAUGUCCAUAAAGUGACUGUUCUCACCUUACAAGACAAGCUAAUAAUCACAAGAAGUUGUCAGAAUUUGGAAUGAGAAAUUGCAGCUGGCUUCAAGCAGAUUACUUCCUCCAGGACUAUACUUUAUUGAUCAACAUUCUUCACAGUGAAGACCUAAGAAAGGAUGUUGAAUUUGAAGUUGUUGGUGAUGCCCCAGAAAAAGUGGGGCCAAAACAAGCUGAAGAUGUUGCCAAAAGCAUAACCAAUGGCAGUAAUGAUGGAACUCAGCCUUCCACCUCCACAGCUCAAGAGCAAGAUGAUGUUCUCAUAGUUGAUUCGGAUGAAGAAGAUUCUUCAAAGAAUGCUGACGUCAGUGAAGAAGAGAGAAUGCACAAGAGGAAAUUAGACCAGAAAGAAUCUCGGUACAAAGAGGUUACGUACAGGACAGAAGGAAGAGCUUGAUGAUGUCAUAGCAUUAGAUUGAACAGAAAUGCCUCUAAACAGAGCCCUCUUAAUACUUAUUUAUCUGGGCAGAACCAGAUUAUCUGUUACGUCCUUUGUUCCAAAGGGAAAAAACUGACACCAGUGACUUGAAAAUGAUUCUGCUCCCUUUGAAAGCAUUCAUUUCGCUAGAACUGUUAGA